rnacentral:misc_RNA from 1 species
GGAGUAGCCGGCAAGGACGAUGAGGAAGACUUACCAUUUCUACAAAUUAUCUAGAAUUUUUUGUUUUCCGUUAUCUAUUUCACAAGCACUAGAAUACCCUCUUGCCCUUAUCACAUCAGGUGUCUAAGUACUCAAUCUAUUAUCACUCUUAUUAUCUGAAAUACACCUCUUGUAUAGAGGGAAAUAAAAGAAUUUGUUAGCAGGGCAGCUGCUAAUAUCAUUCCAUGAAUUUCUUAAUGUGAACAGGCUGUUUUGUUUAGCACAGAAGGGAAAGAGGAGGCAAAGAUGAAGGCGGAGAAUAAAAUGUUGUGGAGAUGAUCAAGAAAUGGUACUUGAGUGGAACUAAGG